rnacentral:rRNA from 1 species
UACGGAGGAUCCAAGCGUUAUCCGGAAUCAUUGGGUUUAAAGGGUGUGUAGGCGGUUCUCUAAGUUUGGUGUGAAAUCUCCCGGCUCAACCGGGAGGGUGCGCCGAAAACUGGAGGGCUAGAGUGCGGGAAGGGAGAGUAGAAUUCCUGGUGUAGCGGUGAAAUGCGUAGAGAUCGGGAGGAACACCAGUGGCGAAGGCGGCCGGCUGGGGGUGACCUGACGCUGAGGCGCGAAAGCGUGGGGAGCGAACCGG